rnacentral:rRNA from 1 species
UGGGGAAUAUUGCACAAUGGGCGGAAGCCUGAUGCAGCGACGCCGCGUGAGGGAUGACGGCCUUCGGGUUGUAAACCUCUUUCAGCCUUGACGAAGCGUAAGUGACGGUAGGGGCAGAAGAAGCGCCGGCUAACUACGUGCCAGCAGCCGCGGUAAGACGUAGGGCGCGAGCGUUGUCCGGAAUUAUUGGGCGUAAAGAGCUCGUAGGCGGCUUGUUGCGUCGACUGUGAAAACCCGCGGCUCAACCGUGUGGCUUGCAGUCGAUACGGGCAGGCUAGAGUUCGGUAGGGGAGACUGGAAUUCCUGGUGUAGCGGUGAAAUGCGCAGAUAUCAGGAGGAACACCGGUGGCGAAGGCGGGUCUCUGGGCCGAUACUGACGCUGAGGAGCGAAAGCGUGGGGAGCGAACAG